GAUGAACGCUGACAGAAUGCUUAACACAUGCAAGUCAACUUGAAUUUGGGUUUUUAACUUAGUUUUGGGUUGCGGACGGGUGAGUAACUCGUAAAGAACUUGCCUCACAGCUAGGGACAACAUUUGUAAACGAAUGCUAAUACCUAAUAUUAUGAUAAUAGGGCAUCCUAUAAUUAUGAAAGCUAUAAGCGCUGUGAGAGAGCUUUGCGUCCCAUUAGCUAGUUGGAGAGGUAACGGCUCACCAAGGCGAUGAUGGGUAGCCGGUCUGAGAGGGUGAUCGGCCACAAGGGGACUGAGACACGGCCCUUACUCCUACGGGAGGCAGCAGUGGGGAAUAUAGGACAAUGGACCGAGAGUCUGAUCAAGCAAUUCUGUGUGCACGAUGAAGUUUUUCGGAAUGUAAAGUGCUUUCAGUUGGGAAGAAACAAAUGACGGUACCAACAGAAGAAGUGACGGCUAAAUACGUG
rnacentral:rRNA from 1 species